CCUACGGGAGACAGCAGUGAGGAAUAUUGGUCAAUGGGCGCGAGCCUGAACCAGCCAAGUAGCGUGAAGGAUGACUGCCCUACGGGUUGUAAACUUCUUUUAUAAAGGAAUAAAGUGAGGCACGUGUGCCUUUUUGUAUGUACUUUAUGAAUAAGGAUCGGCUAACUCCGUGCCAGCAGCCGCGGUAAUACGGAGGAUCCGAGCGUUAUCCGGAUUUAUUGGGUUUAAAGGGAGCGUAGAUGGGUUGUUAAGUCAGUUGUGAAAGUUUUCGGCUCAACCGUAAAAUUGCAAUUGAUACUGGCAGUCUAGAGUACAGUUGAGGUAGGCGGAAUUCGUGGUGUAGCGGUGAAAUGCUUAGAUAUCACGAAGAACUCCGAUUGCGAAGGCAGCUUACUAAACUGCCACUGACAUUGAUGCUCGAAAGUAUGGGUAGCAAACAGGAGUAGAUACCCCUGUAGUC
rnacentral:rRNA from 1 species